UACAGAGGGGGCAAGCGUUGUUCGGAAUUACUGGGCGUAAAGGGCGCGUAGGUGGCCUUCUAAGUUGAACGUGAAAUCCCUGGGCUCAACCCAGGAACUGCGUCCGAUACUGGAAGGCUUGAAUCCGGGAGAGGGAUGCGGAAUUCCAGGUGUAGCGGUGAAAUGCGUAGAUAUCUGGAGGAACACCGGUGGCGAAGGCGGCAUCCUGGACCGGUAUUGACGCUGAGGCGCGAAAGCCAGGGGAGCAAACGGG
rnacentral:rRNA from 1 species